rnacentral:rRNA from 1 species
ACAAUGACUCUCGGCAACGGAUAUCUCGGCUCUCGCAUCGAUGAAGAACGCAGCGAAAUGCGAUACCUGGUGUGAAUUGCAGAAUCCCGUGAAUCAUCGAGUCUUUGAACGCAAGUUGCGCCCGAGGCCUUCAGGUCGAGGGCACGCCUGCCUGGGCGUCACA